CGAACUGAAUCAUUACACUGGCUGAGCAAUGCCAGCUAGGGGUAUCCAGAUACAUUGCGCAACAAGGAACAAUGGCUGCCAGGUCGACCAGAGAGACCCAUAAAUGGACGCCGGAGGAAACCCAGCAGCUGAUCCACUUUCUGGCUGAAAACGAGCAGUAAUCAUUUGAAUUCAUUCCUGUUCAUGUACCUGUACAUUGUUGUUGGUUAUGAUACAGGACUCUAAUGAAAGAAAUGGGGUUGGAGGGAAAGGUUACUGGCCAACAGGCAUCACACUAUGGUCUGGAAUUUCAGAAAAGCUGUAGUUUUGUUUGUUUGUGGUCUUGUGUGUCUUUUAGUUUUAUACAUUUGAGUGCCUUUUUUAGUGUGACAUCUAAGUUAUUGUUCUAAUAGUUGAUAAUGGUUCUCUACAUUUUUCUAUAAUGUUUUUGCAUGUUAUGUUUAUUUUUUUGGGAAAUAAAGACUUUUUUUAACAAA